CUUGCUCAGCCAACUCAGCCGCCGUCCUUCCUCCUAUCCAUCUCCCAAUCUCCCUGCUGCACAGCGACGAGUGCAACCUCCGCAUUCCCCGCACUCUGGAUCUCCAGCCACCUCGCCAUAGCUCUGCAGCACGCACGAGAGUGACCCACCGCACUCUCUACGUGUGAGCGUGUCCCAAGCUCCCAUCGAUGAAGGCCUGCUUCCUCAUCUCCGCAAGCGGCAAAGUCCCUGCAUCCAUAGGCCCGCCGCCGCCCACACACGUCUGCACCCGUCAUCCAACUCUGCCUGAAGCUCCUCCCCCAGUGCUGCCGACGAGCUGCCCCCCUCCCCCCCCCCCCCCCCCGGCCAGGCGGGACCCCCUCGCCUUGCGCUUAGUCGCGCCUAGGCGGCCGCUUAGCGUUGCCUUUUUGAACAUUGAUGGUAGAAGAUUACAACGACUUCGUUCAAAAUUCUAAUAUAUCUUACAAGGUUUGGCCAUCUUUGAAUUAUAGUUAAAUGACCAGUGCGAGAGAUAAACCACAAAUAGUUACUAAUUUUGUCCUUUAUCAGACCAACUAUUUCUAAGCUUAUGUGUUAUUGACUGUUUUUGCAGGGACUACUCAUUACUAGGUGCAGUAGUGAAAGUGUGCCCUGUAAGGUCGUGUAGCUGAUCAAUGAUUCCAAUCAUGCAUGCAAACUUGGGAGAAUACAAACAAGCAGAACUCAUUUCUACUGAAGAAAGGGCAUCUCAUGGCAUCGGAUUGAUCACCAAACAUUUCAUCAGAGAUCCACCAUUCCAGGUACCCCAAUACCCUACACUACUGAUUCAUCACUAUGUAGUUAGAAUUGGAAAUAAUCCAAAAAAAAGGCAUUUACAGCUGUGCACUGCAGAUAUCUUAAUUGCUUAGUACAAAGGAGGCUAUACAAAACUACUAGCUGUGUUAUAGCAUUGGCAAUGCAAGGAUUCUAUUUGGUUGCACAUUCAGACUAACUGCACUGUACUCUGCGAUAAUGAAAAAUUCAGAGCAGAUUAAUUGCUUGAGACUGCAAGUUGCUACUCGUCACACGAGGCUAGCAGUAGCAGUAUCUGGCUUUCAUGAACUGGAAUACUUGAUGGCCUGCCAUUCAAUGCUGGCACACUAUCUUUGUUUGUUUGCCAGCAUUUAGCUUCUUCUUUGCAUGCAACAUGUAGUGACUAUUAUAUAUAAUAAUUAUCUGUAUUUGGCAUUCCAAACUGUAGUAGAUCCUAAUGUCUAACGGCCUUCAUUGACAGCUGAAAAAGACAUGUUGUAAUGAAUUCCCAUGCAAGUUGGAUUGAUGGGAUCAAGUUUGUUUCAUCUUAUAUAUAUGUUUUGAUUAAUA
rnacentral:lncRNA from 1 species